rnacentral:rRNA from 1 species
UACCCUUGACAUCCCGAUCGCGGUUUCCAGAGAUGGAUUCCUUCAGUUAGGCUGGAUCGGUGACAGGUGCUGCAUGGCUGUCGUCAGCUCGUGUCGUGAGAUGUUGGGUUAAGUCCCGCAACGAGCGCAACCCUCAUCCUUAGUUGCCAUCACGUUUGGGUGGGCACUCUAAGGAAACUGCCGGUGGCAAGCCGGAGGAAGGUGGGGAUGACGUCAAGUCCUCAUGGCCCUUACGGGUAGGGCUACACACGUGCUACAAUGGCAGUGACAAUGGGAUAAUCCCAAAAAGCUGUCUCAGUUCAGAUUGUCCUCUGCAACUCGAGGGCAUGAAGGUGGAAUCGCUAGUAAUCGUGGAUCAGCAUGCCACGGUGAAUACGUUCCCGGGCCU